ACUGCUCAGUAACACGUGGACAACCUGCCCUAAGGUGAGGGAUAACUCCGGGAAACUGGAGAUAAUACCUCAUAAUCUACAGGUGCUGGAAUGCUCUGUAGGUCAAAGGUCAGCCGCCUUAGGAUGGGUCUGCGGCCGAUUAGGUAGUUGUUGGGGUAAUGGCCCAACAAGCCUGUAAUCGGUACGGGUUGUGGGAGCAAGAGCCCGGAGAUGGAUUCUGAGACACGAAUCCAGGCCCUACGGGGCGCAGCAGGCGCGGAAACUUUACAAUGCAGGAAACUGUGAUAAGGGAACCCCGAGUGCCCGUAUGGACGGGCUGUUCAGGUGCUUAAAAAACAUCUGGAGAAAGGGCCGGGCAAGACCGGUGCCAGCCGCCGCGGUAAUACCGGCGGCUCGAGUGGUGGCCACUAUUAUUGGGCUUAAAGCGUCCGUAGCUUGGUAGUUAAGUCUCUUGGGAAAUCUUCCGGCUUAACCGGAAGGCGUCUAAGGGAUACUGGCUGCCUAGGGAUCGGGAGAGGUGAGAGGUACUCUGGGGGUAGGAGUGAAAUCCUGUAAUCCUCAGGGGACCACCUGUGGCGAAGGCGUCUCACCAGAACGACUCCGACAGUGAGGGACGAAAGCUGGGGGAGCAAACCGGAUUAGAUACCCGGGUAGUCCCAGCCGUAAACGAUGCGCGUUAGGUGUAUCGGUGACCACGAGUUACCGAGGUGCCGAAGGGAAACCGUGAAACGCGCCGCCUGGGAAGUACGGUCGCAAGGCUGAAACUUAAAGGAAUUGGCGGGGGAGCAC
rnacentral:rRNA from 1 species